rnacentral:lncRNA from 1 species
CCACAUUCAUACCCCAGGCCAACAUCACUUUCUUUAUUCUCAAUCUACCAUGUAGUGUAAUCCAUAAAAUGAAUACUUGUUUGGGACUUGAGACAUUAUGAUAGAUCAGGUUUCUCCAUGCCACAGUACUGACAUCACCUCUUAAGCAUCAAUAAAUAGCAGAAAUUUGAUUUCUAGACAACUUGAUUAUGAACAUUCAUGUUAAGCAUGUACUUUCUCAUAUUAAAG